CAGCUAUGAUGAAUUUUAUUCCAAUCAUUCGCAGUUUCCACCAUAAAGACUUUGUCUUAAUGAUGGCUGAAGAUCCUUCCUUGGAUGUCUGAGCUG
rnacentral:snoRNA from 1 species